rnacentral:tRNA from 1 species
GUGGGUGUAGCUCAGCCGGUAGAGCACCUGGUUGUGAUCCAGGAUGUCGCGGGUUCAAGUCCCGUCACUCACCCCA